rnacentral:rRNA from 1 species
GUGAGGAAUAUUGGUCAAUGGGCGCAAGCCUGAACCAGCCAUGCCGCGUGCAGGAAGACGGUCCUAUGGAUUGUAAACUGCUUUUAUUUGGGAAUAAACUCCGGUACGUGUACCGGCCUGAAGGUACCAAAUGAAUAAGCACCGGCUAACUCCGUGCCAGCAGCCGCGGUAAUACGGAGGGUGCAAGCGUUAUCCGGAAUCAUUGGGUUUAAAGGGUCCGCAGGCGGUCUUAUAAGUCAGUGGUGAAAGCCUACAGCUCAACUGUAGAACUGCCAUUGAUACUGUAGGACUUGAAUUCGAUCGAAGGGGGCGGAAUGUGACAUGUAGCGGUGAAAUGCUUAGAUAUGUCACAGAACACCGAUAGCGAAGGCAGCUCACUAGGUCUGGAUUGACGCUCAGGGACGAAAGCGUGGGGAGCAAACAGGAUUAGAUACCCGAGUAGUCC